rnacentral:rRNA from 1 species
GCCUACCAAGGCUACGAUCAGUAGGGGUUCUGAGAGGAUUAACCCCCACACUGGUACUGAGACACGGGCCAGACUCGUACGGGAGGCAGCAGUGAGGAAUAUUGGUCAAUGGGCGGAAGCCUGAACCAGCCAUCCCGCGUGAAGGAAGACAGCCUUACGGGUUGUAAACUUCUUUUGUGUCAGAAGAAUAAGCUUGUCGAGACGAGUGAUGCCGGUAUGACAGGAAUAAGCAUCGGCUAACUCCGUGCCAGCAGCCGCGGUAAUACGGAGGAUGCAAGCGUUAUCCGGAUUUAUUGGGUUUAAAGGGUGCGCAGGUUGUUUGAUAAGUCAGUGGUGAAAGUCUGUCGCUUAACGGUAGGAUUGCCAUUGAUACUGUUGGACUUGAAUAUGGAUGAGGUAGGCGGAAUGUGUAGUGUAGCGGUGAAAUGCAUAGAUAUUACACAGAACACCGAUUGCGAAGGCAGCUUACUAAUCCAUCAUUGACGAUGAGGCACGAAAGCGUGGGGAUCAAACAGGAUUAGAUACCCUGGUAGUCCACGCCGUAAACGAUGAUCACUCGCUGUUUGCGAUAUACAGUAAGCGGCUAAGCGAAAGC